AUAGCUUUGGUCCUGGGCUUACCGUUAUUUUUUAUCAAGAUUAUACAUGCAAGCCUCAACAACCCAGUGAAAAUGCCCACAACCCCAUCAAAGACAAAAUGGAGCAGGCAUCAGGCACUAUAAUUUAGCCCAUUAAGCCUUGCCAAGCCAAACCCCCACGGGGUUACCAGCAGUAGUAAACAUUGGGCUAUAAGUGAAAACUUGACCCAACUAUGAUAACUUAGGGCUAGUCAAUUUCGUGCCAGCCACCGCGGUUAUACGAAAGGCCAAAAUAACGAUAAACCGGGGUAAAAUGUGACUAGAGAUCCAUAGUAUUUUUAAUAUUAAAAUUUUUAGUCUAGUUGUAAAACACUAAGACAAUAAAGAAAACCAAAACAAAUAUUCUUAAUACCAUAUUCUUGACCACACGAAAGCUUAGAAACAAACUAGGAUUAGAUACCCUACUAUGCUAAGCCCUGAACAUUGAAAGUUACAAAUACAAUACUCUCGCCAGAGAACUACAAGUGAAAAACUUGAAACUCAAAGGACUUGACGGUGUCCCAUAUCGA
rnacentral:rRNA from 1 species